UACGUAGGGGGCGAGCGUUGUCCGGAGUUACUGGGCGUAAAGCGCACGCAGGCGGUCUGCUAAGUUUGGAGUGACAGUUGGUGGCUUAACUGCCAAAGUGCUUCGAAAACUGACAGACUUGAGGGCUUCAGAGGGACACGGAAUUCCGGGUGGAGUGGUGAAAUGCGUAGAGAUCCGGAGGAACACCAAAGGCGAAGGCAGUGUCCUGGGGAGUACCUGACGCUCAGGUGCGAAAGCCAGGGGAGCGAAUGGG
rnacentral:rRNA from 1 species